ACUCUCGUCUUUCAAGCCCACUAUACUAUUGAUAGUUGUGGGGCACAUACUUACAGUCACUAAGAGCAAGUGCAUUAGCGUAUGUUUCCACCGUCUUUCAGCAUUAAAAUUAAAAAGUUAAAUCGAAAUAAAGAGAUUAUAGAAGAAACGUUCCUACAAACGAGACGUAAUUUGCUGCGUCCUCCGUUACACGUGGCAACGUCGGACAGUUCUUUGACUCCAUCAGUUCCUUCUUCACCGGCAGCGAUAAGAUCCCUUGGUGCGACGGAGAUGUCAUUGCUGACACCAAUGCCCAUGCUCUAAGGAUAAGCAAGUGAAUGCGGCCGGUGCAUGGCGAACGGAGGCCUACAUUUUUACUGAACCAUUUGUUGGAUAUUUAAUAUGUUGGGUAGAAGUCGUAAAACUUAAUCAAGACGAGAAGUCGGAAUAUCUUCCAUUUUUUCAACGAACCAAUGCAAUACGACGUCGUUGUCUCUCUGAAGGCUACAGAAAGAGAGAUAGUAACAAAUUAGGGAGAGAGAUAGACUCUACAAGUCUUAGUGCAGACCGGGACUUUAAGAUAAGGGUAAGUGAGAAGGGGCACAUGAAAUACAGAGUUUUUGUCUUGGUCAUACAGAGUUUUUGUCUUGGUCAUACAAGAAGGGAGGGAGAUCUCAGAUAGUUGGUAAGGGUCAACAAUGUGAGAGGCCACCUGAAUGCCAGCAACAGUAAUCUCUACGCUCUACCAAGCUAAUUUUGUCGAGCCUGCUCAUGAUAAACAAGGGUUUGAGCGUACAACAUUUCUCUCUUGACUUGAGUCACGACUAGUUCAAAUGCAGAAGAAUUACUGGUCUGAUUCUUUUCUCAAGUUGUUCUGAUAUCCCGUUUCAUUGAGCCCGGCAUGGAUGUUUCAGGACUAAUAAUAUUCCAUUUCUUUUUUGACCAAGAGGAACAACUGUCACAAAAUUGGCUAACAGCAGACAUCUGAUCAAAAAAGUAUUUCUCUUUCUGCCUGUAGAUUUUUUUUUGUUGUUGUAAGUUUGUAAACUUCAA